ensembl:lncRNA
CCAUAGCGAUGUGGCCCUUGUCUACUAGUCUCUGAUGCUAAUCCAUAGCGAUGUGGCCCUUGUCUACUAGUCUCUGAUGCUAAUCCAUAGCGAGGUGGCCCUUUUCUACUAGUCUCUGAUGCUAAUCCAUAGCGAUGUGGCCCUUGUCUACUAGUCUCUGAUGCUAAUCCAUAGCGAGGUGGCCCUUGUCUAUUAGUCUCUGAUGCUAAUCCAUAGUGAGGUGGCCCUUGUCUACUAGUCUCUAAUGCUAAUCCAUAGCGAGGUGGCCCUUGUCUACUAGUCUCUGAUGCUAAUCCAUAGCGAGGUGGCCCUUGUCUACUAGUCUCUGAUGCUAAUCCAUAGCGAGAUGGCCCUUUUCUACUAGUCUCUGAUGCUAAUCCAUAGCGAUGUGGCCCUUGUCUACUAGUCUCUGAUGCUAAUCCAUAGCGAUGUGGCCCUUGUCUACUAGUCUCUGAUGCUAAUCCAUAGCGAGGUGGCCCUUGUCUACUAGUCUCUGAUGCUAAUCCAUAGCGAUAUGGCCCUUGUCUACUAGUCUCUGAUGCAAAUCGAUAGCGAGGUGGCCCUUGUCUACUAGUCUCUGAUGCUAAUCCAUAGCGAUGUGGCCCUUGUCUACUAGUCUCUGAUGCUAAUCCAUAGCGAGGUGGCCCUUGUCUACUAGCCUCUAAUGCUAAUCCAUAGAGAGGUGGCCCUUGUCUACUAGCCUCAUGCUAAUCCAUAGAGAGGUGGCCCUUGUCUACUAGCCUCUAAUGCUAAUCCAUAGAGAGGUGGCCCUUGUCUACUAGCCUCAUGCUAAUCCAUAGCACACAGUACAGAUCAAUGUUAUAUCACUGUGAUCAUCCCCAUUUCAACUCCUCAUGUGUUUCAGUAAGUCAAACCUCUGAUGUAAGAUACAAUGAACAGACACAUAACGUCUAAGAAUCUUGUCUACACUUCUCUCUCCUCCCCCUCCCUCCCUCCCUCCCUCCCUCCCUCCCUCCCUCCUUCAUUCCCUCCCUCCCUCCCUUCCCUCCCUCCCUCCCUCCCUCCCUCCCUCCCUCCCUCCCUCCCUCCC